UACGUAGGGUGCGAGCGUUAAUCGGAUUUACUGGGCGUAAAGCGCGCGCAGGCGGCCCGUUAAGACAGGUGUGAAAUCCCUGGGCUCAACCUAGGAAUUGCGCUUGUGACUGGCGGGCUCGAGUACGGUAGAGGGGGGUGGAAUUCCUGGUGUAGCAGUGAAAUGCGUAGAGAUCAGGAGGAACACCGAUGGCGAAGGCAGCCCCCUGGGCCUGUACUGACGCUCAUGCACGAAAGCGUGGGGAGCAAACAGG
rnacentral:rRNA from 1 species